CAGCAGCCACGGUAAUACGGAGGGGGCUAGCGUUGUUCGGAACUACUGGGCGUAAAGCGCACGUAGGCGGCUUGGUAAGUUAGAGGUGAAAGCCCGGAGCUCAACUCCGGAAUUGCCUUUAAGACUGCCGAGCUAGUAGGUGAGAGAGGUAAGUGGAAUUCCGAGUGUAGAGGUGAAAUUCGUAGAUAUUCGGAAGAACACCAGUGGCGAAGGCGGCUCACUGGACUGGUAUUGACGCUGAGGUGCGAAAGCGUGGGGAGCAAACAGGAUUAGAGACCCCGGUAGUCCCUGUCUCUUAUAA
rnacentral:rRNA from 1 species